AAUCUUUCAUGGAGAGUUUGAUCCUGGCUCAGGAUGAACGCUGGCGGCGUGCCUAAUACAUGCAAGUCGAGCGAAC
rnacentral:rRNA from 1 species